rnacentral:lncRNA from 1 species
AAUUUGGGAGCAGAGGGGGUAGUCCCCACUCUCCUGUCUGAUCCCUCCCUCUCCUCCCCGAGUUCCACCGCCCCAGGCGCACAGGUUUCCGCCAGAUGUCUUUUCUUCUUCGCAGUCUUUGCCCGAGCGCUUCCGAGAGCCAGUUCUGGACUGAUCGCCUUGGAUGGGAUACCGGGGGAGGGCAGAAGGACACUUGGCUUCCUCUCCAGGAAUCUGAGCGGCCCUGAGGUCCGGGGGCGCAGGGAAUCCCCUCUCCCGCCGCCGCCGCCGUGUCUGGUCUGUACGUCUUUAGAGGGUCGAGGAAGUCACGUCGGGACAGACUGGGGCGAGUAAGGUUAAGAAAGGCUGACAUGUUUUAUGUUUUAGUGACGACGCUUAAUAGGCUGUAUAUCUGCUCUAUAUGCAGCACAUACAUACAUAGCUUUUUAAAAAACUCUUAUUUUGUGGAAUGAAAUAGCUACCUUCAGUGUACAUAGCUGUAAUUUAUCUUUGUAGCUAAGUUGCUUUCAACAGAAGAAAUACUGUUCUCCGUACCUUCACCCCCUCCUUGUUUCUUGGAAAGAGAGGCGGGAAAGGUAAAUUCUCCUCAUAAUACUGGUCCUAAGCAGUUACCCUGUAAAUAGUUAAUGUGAGCUCCACGGGUCACCAAUAUAAAGUUUCCUGCCUUCUGAUGGACAAAGGAAGCGGCGAUGGCCAGAAUUUGCAGGGACGCUAAAUGUCCAAAACGUAUGCCUUAAGGCAUUUCUCUCCCUGAUGCGUGGAUUAUUUUGGUUACUAGCCCUUCAUAGGAGAUACUGGUAAAAUAAAUUCGAGUUUUAAAGUUCA